rnacentral:rRNA from 1 species
CGGGUAGCCGGCCUGAGAGGGUGGCCGGCCACAGUGGGACUGAGACACGGCCCAGACUCCUACGGGAGGCAGCAGUUGGGAAUCUUGGGCAAUGGGCGCAAGCCUGACCCAGCGACGCCGCGUGGGGGAUGAAGGCCUUCGGGUUGUAAACCCCUGUCAGGAGGGACGAAGCCCACUCCUCGAGGGUGGGUGACGGUACCUCCAGAGGAAGCCCCGGCUAACUACGUGCCAGCAGCCGCGGUAANACGUAGGGGGCGAGCGUUGCCCGGAUUUACUGGGCGUAAAGCGGGUGUAGGCGGCCGGGUAAGUCCCGUGUGAAAGCCCACGGCUCAACCGUGGGACGUCGCGGGAAACUGCUCGGCUUGAGGGCAGCAGAGGGUGGUGGAAUUCCCGGUGUAGCGGUGAAAUGCGUAGAGAUCGGGAGGAACGCCAGUGGCGAAGGCGGCCACCUGGGCUGUCCCUGACGCUCAGACCCGAAAGCUGGGACGAACCC